GGGGUUGUGGCUCAAUGGUAGAGCACUCGCCUAGCAUGUGUGAGGCACUGGGUUUGAUUCUCAGCACCACA
rnacentral:tRNA from 1 species